CAAAGAGCCAACGCCUCCACUUUUAGAUCCUUUGACAAAUGGAAUGGAAAGACUGGUGGAUAUGACAGUUCUUAUUAAAGUAAAAGGAAAAUGUACAACAGAUCACAUUUCUGCUGCUGGACCUUGGUUAAAAUACAGAGGGCAUUUAGACAACAUCUCAAAUAAUAUGUUUAUAGGAGCUGUAAAUUCGGAAAAUAACGAAAUGAAUAAGAUUAGAAAUCAGCGGACGGGUCAAUGGGAGGUGUACCCGACGUUGCACGAGAUUACAAGGCUAAUGACAUUAAGUGGUUGCAAUCGGUGAUGAAAACUAUGGAGAAGGUUCAUCACGCGAACAUGCUGCUCUAGACACGACAUCUUGCGGUAGAGCAAUCAUUGUUAAAUCAUUUGCCCGCAUUCACGAAACAAACUUAAAAAAACAGGGUUUGUUACCUUUGACAUUUGCAAAUCCAGCCGACUACGAUAAGAUUAAACCAGAAAGUAAAAUUUCUCUUAUCGGGCUAGAAAAGUAGCACCAGGGAAACAAAUUGACUGUGAGAUUAAAACUGGCGACAAAAUUGACAAGAUUAAACUAAAUCACACUCUAAAUGAUUUACAAAUUGGUUGGUUUAAGGCUGGUAGCGCUCUUACCGCAUGAAAGAGCUAGCAAAAUUACAAAAUCAUAACUAAAAUCCAAUAAUUUUUUCUGAUGCUGUUUAAUACAAAUACGAUGUCAUUAUAUGCUAUUUUAAUGGAGAUCUGCUGGUGCCUGUAUAUAUUUUGAAGUCAAGUUACUAUUUAGUAAAUAAUACGUUGUUGUUUUAAUUUAAGUUUGUUUCUGCUCGCAUGAGUUUAUUUAAUUUGUAUUGUAGAACUCAUAAUUAGGAGCUUGGCCAAAUAAAUAAAAUAACGCAGGUGAACAAAUUAGUAAUUUAUUCAAUUACUACGAUAAUAAAUUUUGUAGAAAUAUAUGUAAAAAAUUA